AUAAUUUACCAAGAGAAAAAUCAAAUGUAAAGACAUUUUUGUAUUUAUAAUAAAAAUGCAUGUUGGCCCUGCUUUGUAUUUGACCCUUUAACAAUAUUUUCUCCUGGGAACAGCUUCCCUUUUGCUAAUGAAGACAGUGAAUAAAGAAAGAGUAAAGGAUUGUCCAUAGUAAUACUGCCAGACAUGGCAACCAGUUUGCUCUGAUGGAGUGCAUCUGUAAAUUUGGAAUAGGAAGGCUAUAAUAGACAGACAGCCUUCUGGGUUAGAAAUAACUAUUUGAGAGGAAUUGAUGAUGCAUAGCAUUACAAACAAAGGUCCAAGUCCAGUAUUUUUAUAUGUUGGGAAAUUGCCGUGGAUGAUAAUAUAUUUUCUUAUUCACUAAAACAUCUUAAAAAGUGAAGUACUGCAAGGUAUCUUCCAUUUCUAUGCUCUAGGUCUGUCUAUUAGCUAAAGUGCACUUUCCCAUUAGUAUCAUGAGCUGCUCCUUGAGUCCUCUGUAUAUCCAACAAAAGUUUCUUGUGUGGCGAUUACAACCAGUUUUCUUUUCCUUUACUUUCUUUUAUUUAGAAAACUUCAAAAUCAGUGAUUAACUCUUUGGUUACCUCAGAAACAAUGAUCCUAAUUAGUUAAUAUACACAUAUUUUUCCUUAUAUAAAUAUUUUCUUCAACAGUUUUGUUCUUUUUGAAACUCAAGGUGCUUGUAAAUCACUCAAAAGAUUCAAAGCCUUGAGUUUUAUGAGGGUUGCUGGGGUAUGUAAAUUAUUCGUUACCUUCCAUUUGUCAGAAAUUUACCUGUCCACUUUUUCUGUAAGAAUUGUAGAGGGGUUAGGGGUGCAGCUUAUGGUUAAGCAGUUGCCUGGUAUGUGUGAGGCCUGGGUUUGGGUCCCCAGCAUGGUCCUCUCCCACUCAAUGAACAAGUUUAGAAGGUAAAUCUGCCUUUAUUAGGAGUGAUGAAGUACGAGUAGUUCCUUAGAUU
rnacentral:lncRNA from 1 species